rnacentral:rRNA from 1 species
UACGUAGGGUGCAAGCGUUGUCCGGAAUUAUUGGGCGUAAAGAGCUCGUAGGCGCUUGUCGCGUCGGCUGUGAAAACCUGGGGCUCAACCCCGGGCCUGCAGCCGAUACGGGCAGCUAGAAUUCGGUAGGGGAGACUGGAAUUCCUGGUGUAGCGGUGAAAUGCGCAGAUAUCAGGAGGAACACCGGUGGCGAAGGCGGGUCUCUGGGCCGAAAUUGACGCUGAGGAGCGAAAGCGUGGGGAGCGAACAGG